GGAUGCUUUUGGUGAGGUGCCUUCCGAGUUCCCUGGAACGGGACGCCAUAGAGCGUGAGAGCCCCGUCUGGCUGGACACCGAUCCUCUGUAAAGCUCCUUCGACGAGUCGAGUAGUUUGGGAAUGCUGCUCUAAAUGGGAGGUAUAUGUCUUCUAAAGCUAAAUACCGGCCAGAGACCGAUAGCGCACAAGUAGAGUGAUCGAAAGAUGAAAAGAACUUUGAAAAGAGAGUUAAAAAGUACGUGAAAUUGUUGAAAGGGAAGCGCUU
rnacentral:rRNA from 1 species